UACCUGGUCUUGACAUCCACAGAACUUUCCAGAGAUGGAUUGGUGCCUUCGGGAACUGUGAGACAGGUGCUGCAUGGCUGUCGUCAGCUCGUGUUGUGAAAUGUUGGGUUAAGUCCCGCAACGAGCGCAACCCUUAUCCUUUGUUGCCAGCGGUCCGGCCGGGAACUCAAAGGAGACUGCCAGUGAUAAACUGGAGGAAGGUGGGGAUGACGUCAAGUCAUCAUGGCCCUUACGACCAGGGCUACACACGUGCUACAAUGGCAUAUACAAAGAGAAGCGACCUCGCGAGAGCAAGCGGACCUCA
rnacentral:rRNA from 1 species